GUGAAUCAUCAAAUUUUUGAACGCAAAUUGCACUCCCUGGUAUUCCGGAGAGCAUGCCUGUUUGAGGGUCAGCUAAAAUCAAACACGGUGUGGUUGCUGCCUUUCGUGGUGACGUACCGGAUUUGGGUCGUUUCGCCUUUGGUUAAGUCUCCUUAAAUUUUGCAUGACAUUUUCGAACGUAAUUAAAUGA
rnacentral:misc_RNA from 1 species